rnacentral:rRNA from 1 species
AGUGGGAAACGAUGUGGGAAGGCCCAGACAGCCAGGAUGUUGGCUUAGAAGCAGCCAUCAUUUAAAGAAAGCGUAAUAGCUCACUGGUCGAGUCGGCCUGCGCGGAAGAUGUAACGGGGCUAAACCAUGCACCGAAGCUGCGGCAGCGACGCUGAUGCGUUGUUGGGUAGGGGAGCGUUCUGUAAGCCUGUGAAGGUGGCCUGUGAGGGUUGCUGGAGGUAUCAGAAGUGCGAAUGCUGACAUAAGUAACGAUAAAGCGGGUGAAAAGCCCGCUCGCCGGAAGACCAAGGGUUCCUGUCCAACGUUAAUCGGGGCAGGGUGAGUCGACCCCUAAGGCGAGGCCGAAAGGCGUAGUCGAUGGGAAACGGGUUAAUAUUCCCGUACUUGGUGUUACUGCGAAGGGGGGACGGAGAAGGCUAUGUUGGCCGGGCGACGGUUGUCCCGGUUUAAGCGUGUAGGUGUGUGUUCCAGGUAAAUCCGGUUCACUUUAACACUGAGGCGUGAUGACGAGGCACUACGGUGCUGAAGCAACAAAUGCCCUGCUUCCAGGAAAAGCCUCUAAGCAUCAGGUAACAUCAAAUCGUACCCCAAACCGACACAGGUGGUCAGGUAGAGAAUACCAAGGCGCUUGAGAGAACUCGGGUGAAGGAACUAGGCAAAAUGGUGCCGUAACUUCGGGAGAAGGCACGCUGACACGUAGGUGAAGUGAUUUACUCAUGGAGCUGAAGUCAGUCGAAGAUACCAGCUGGCUGCAACUGUUUAUUAAAAACACAGCACUGUGCAAACACGAAAGUGGACGUAUACGGUGUGACGCCUGCCCGGUGCCGGAAGGUUAAUUGAUGGGGUCAGCGCAAGCGAAGCUCCUGAUCGAAGCCCCGGUAAACGGCGGCCGUAACUAUAACGGUCCUAAGGUAGCGAAAUUCCUUGUCGGGUAAGUUCCGACCUGCACGAAUGGCGUAAUGAUGGCCAGGCUGUCUCCACCCGAGACUCAGUGAAAUUGAACUCGCUGUGAAGAUGCAGUGUACCCGCGGCAAGACGGAAAGACCCCGUGAACCUUUACUAUAGCUUGACACUGAACAUUGAGCCUUGAUGUGUAGGAUAGGUGGGAGGCUUUGAAGUGUGGACGCCAGUCUGCAUGGAGCCGGCCUUGAAAUACCACCCUUUAAUGUUUGAUGUUCUAACGUGGACCCGUGAUCCGGGUUGCGGACAGUGUCUGGUGGGUAGUUUGACUGGGGCGGUCUCCUCCUAAAGAGUAACGGAGGAGCACGAAGGUUGGCUAAUCCUGGUCGGACAUCAGGAGGUUAGUGCAAUGGCAUAAGCCAGCUUGACUGCGAGCGUGACGGCGCGAGCAGGUGCGAAAGCAGGUCAUAGUGAUCCGGUGGUUCUGAAUGGAAGGGCCAUCGCUCAACGGAUAAAAGGUACUCCGGGGAUAACAGGCUGAUACCGCCCAAGAGUUCAUAUCGACGGCGGUGUUUGGCACCUCGAUGUCGGCUCAUCACAUCCUGGGGCUGAAGUAGGUCCCAAGGGUAUGGCUGUUCGCCAUUUAAAGUGGUACGCGAGCUGGGUUUAGAACGUCGUGAGACAGUUCGGUCCCUAUCUGCCGUGGGCGCUGGAGAACUGAGGGGGGCUGCUCCUAGUACGAGAGGACCGGAGUGGACGCAUCACUGGUGUUCGGGUUGUCAUGCCAAUGGCACUGCCCGGUAGCUAAAUGCGGAAGAGAUAAGUGCUGAAAGCAUCUAAGCACGAAACUUGCCCCGAGAUGAGUUCUCCCUGAGACUUUAGGUCUCCUGAAGGAACGUUGAAGACGACGACGUUGAUAGGCCGGGUGUGUAAGCGCAGCGAUGCGUUGAGCUAACCGGUACUAAUGAACCGUGAGGCUUAACCUUACA